GUCAUCUUCAAAUUUCAAAAUUUGAAAACCCUCUCACUCUCUCAACUUAUUUACUUGAAAUUUGCAAAACCUCUCUCUCGCUCAGCUUAUUUACUUUCCCUCUCUCAAGUUUCUGCAUUUAACAAAUUGAUUGUUUUUCAUCUGGAUUUUGAAUUUGGCAUUUUUGAUGAGUUCUUGAUGAAAAAACCAAGAUCUACAAGAGAUUAUCGUCUUCUUUUGCUAGAACAGUACUCAUGUGCUAAAGGAAAUGUCUACCGUCUCAGGUACUUAAAAAUGUAUACCAUCUUUGUUUAAUGUCCUAUUAUUCGAGAUCAUCGUUGUAUUUUUUACUGUAAAUGGUAUCUCCCCUCUCGGAGGUGUUGCCCAGGAAUUGUCCAGGUCCUGCUGCUCCGGCAGUGCUUGACAGAAUUCUUUGAAAUGGACCGCAGCAGCCGGAGAAGAUGGCAAAGAGAAGAGUCCGUGUGAAAUGGUUAGUGAUGUCUAAAUGCUUAAACCUGAUAAGAAGACAUCUACAGACUUUUGUGGUUGUUUAAAUGUUUUUAGGUAUCACUUUAACAAGGCUCAUGCUGGCAUGCAUGUAUUUGAAUACCCUGCACUUAGAAACAACAGAUUCAAUUUUAGAGGAGGAGAUGUUUGAAAGUGUCGCAAAAGGAGAAGUCAUCUUCAUGAAGUAGUGCCUGAAUACUCGGACACCAGUUCUUGCAUAAGAUUAAACAAUGCAGUUGAUAGUAAUAUGAUCAUGUUGGCAUUGAAUCGGGGAAAAGAGAGGAGUUUAAGAGAAUAUGAGGAAUUCGCAAAGAAUCUGGAUUUGAAGCUGCAAAAACAAUUGCAGCGCCUCUGUUCAAGUGUUCUGGGACUUUCCAAAAAAGCUAUUUGUAAACCAAUUAUCACUCCACCCAUGAGUGUAAUAGAGAACUGAAUGGUUUAAAGGAAAUAAAUAUAUUUGUCGGGCCACCUCUAUUUGUCACUGAAUUUUCUAUGAUCAGAGAUAUUGUAACACCCUCAAUUAUAUAUAUAAU